CCUACGGGCGGCUGCAGUGGGGAAUAUUGCACAAUGGGCGCAAGCCUGAUGCAGCCAUGCCGCGUGUGUGAAGAAGGCCUUCGGGUUGUAAAGCACUUUCAGCGGGGAGGAAGGCGGUGAGGUUAAUAACCUCAUCGAUUGACGUUACCCGCAGAAGAAGCACCGGCUAACUCCGUGCCAGCAGCCGCGGUAAUACGGAGGGUGCAAGCGUUAAUCGGAAUUACUGGGCGUAAAGCGCACGCAGGUGGUCUGUCAAGUCGGAUGUGAAAUCCCCGGGCUCAACCUGGGAACUGCAUUCGAAACUGGCAGGCUAGAGUCUUGUAGAGGGGGGUAGAAUUCCAGGUGUAGCGGUGAAAUGCGUAGAGAUCUGGAGGAAUACCGGUGGCGAAGGCGGCCCCCUGGACAAAGACUGACGCUCAGGUGCGAAAGCGUGGGGAGCAAACAGGAUUAGAUACCCCAGUAGUC
rnacentral:rRNA from 1 species